rnacentral:rRNA from 1 species
CCUAUGGGUGGCAGCAGUGGGGAAUAUUGGACAAUGGGGGGAACCCUGAUCCAGCCAUGCCGCGUGUGUGAAGAAGGCCCUCGGGUUGUAAAGCACUUUCAGUGAGGAAGAACGCCUGGUGGUUAAUACCCAUCAGGAAAGACAUCACUCACAGAAGAAGCACCGGCUAACUCCGUGCCAGCAGCCGCGGUAAUACGGAGGGUGCGAGCGUUAAUCGGAAUUACUGGGCGUAAAGCGCGCGUAGGUGGCUUGAUAAGCCGGUUGUGAAAGCCCCGGGCUCAACCUGGGAACGGCAUCCGGAACUGUCAAGCUAGAGUGCAGGAGAGGAAGGUAGAAUUCCCGGUGUAGCGGUGAAAUGCGUAGAGAUCGGGAGGAAUACCAGUGGCGAAGGCGGCCUUCUGGACUGACACUGACACUGAGGUGCGAAAGCGUGGGUAGCAAACAGGAUUAGAUACCCCAGUAGUC